GUUCGCAACUAAUUGAUGCCAACUUUCUGACUGGAGUUUCGUUAUCAGGGAUAAUAUUGUAAUUAUAGCUCACUGGGAAACACUGUCAAUGUGCUGUUAAGUUGAGGGUAACAUUUGAGUAUUAAAUUAUUGGCUACAAAUUGACUACAACUUCCUCAGAAAUUUGGCGACAAUCUGCAGCCGCGAUAUGAAGACUACUCGAGGAAAUUUUCCUUCGCGUUGUUGGCUACUUUUUUUUACCUAACUAUUGCAUUCAGCUUGGAGAAAAGUUGCCGUCAAUUGUCGCGCACCCUAACGAGUUGCGAGAACGUUGACGUCAAUGGCACUAGACUUCGAUAGCUAUACUUUUCCUUCAAACACUUGAUGCUGAUUGUUUUCGGUUGAGGAACGUCAAGUUCUGGUGAUUCAAGUUUUGACUGCAAUCAAAAAAAUAAAGGUUUCAAAUCGAAAAAAGUUGAAACGUUAGACGCUGAGCAAAUCAAUCAAUUUUCGCACCAAGCUCCUGAUAAUCAGGUCUUGGCAAUUAAGGUGGCUUUGAUUUUUGUGUUUCAAGGUGCGUGCAGGCGUCAAGAACUUUGUGAUUUAACGGUGGACAAUAUAAUCGACAAAGGUGACAUGUUGUUGGUAAAAAUUCCGAAAACAAAAACUGGCAAAGCGAAAUCUUUUGUCGUGUCAGAUGAAUUUUAUCAAAUUUCUAAAAAAUACUCCUCUUCACGCCAAACAAACUUAGCUACCAAAAGAUUCUUCGUGGGUUAUCGAAACGAAAACCAUUAGCUACUCUGUUAGCGGAUUCUGGUGCUGAUCUUCUUACAAUAAAAAGGCACAGAAGAUGGAAAUCCAAUUCCGUUGUUGAAGGUCACGUGGAAGAGUCGGUAGGUAAUAAAAAACGAAUUGGUAAGCAAAUUGCACGUGCCAUAUCAUCGAGACCAUCUACUUCACGCGAAUAUUCGUGCAAAAAAAAAUUCUAAUUUAUAAUGAAUUUUAAUCUUAAGUUUAGAUUUAAAUUCAUAUUUUGACACAAAUAUGAAUUAGUCCUAAGAUCAAUCUAAAUAUGAGAUUGAUUUGUCGAUAGAAAUUAAGACGCCUGUAGAAUUUUUUGUUCACAUCAAAAUAUAACUGACGGAAUUAGAUUAUAAUAGGAAAUGCAUAACUUAUCAAGAAAGAAAACCAUAUUUUAAAAUUAUGAUUUGAAUA